rnacentral:rRNA from 1 species
GCUCGAGUGGCGAACGGGUGAGUAACACGUGAGUAACCUGCCCUUGACUUUGGGAUAACUUCAGGAAACUGGGGCUAAUACCGGAUAGGAGCUCCUGCUGCAUGGUGGGGGUUGGAAAGUUUCGGCGGUUGGGGAUGGACUCGCGGCUUAUCAGCUUGUUGGCGGGGUAGUGGCUUACCAAGGCUUUGACGGGUAGCCGGCCUGAGAGGGUGACCGGCCACAUUGGGACUGAGAUACGGCCCAG